GACACUGCUGGGGCAGGAAAAGUCCCUGGAAAAGCCAGUUGCGACGCGCCGAGCCCGAUGUCACGCCGCAGCUACCCGGCUGGGGGAAGGAGGGCCCCCCCCAAGAGCACAAUGGAGAUGGACAAAAUAUUCCUCCAGCUGUGUGAGGAGGUUACCAGGCUGCAGGAUCUGUGUGCGAAGCAGGGCAAGCUCCUCCAGAAGCUGACUGCCAGGAAGGGCCCUGUCCUCGAUAUCCCCAUGUCGCUGCCGGUCCAGUGCACGGAGGACAUGGCCACGGAGGAAGGGGAAAGGCCACCGGGCAGCCCACAGAAGUGCUCCGAGGCCCCGGAGGGCUCUGCCCACCCCCUGGUGCAGCCGCACGCUGCCGACGUGCCCGGCUUCGACAGCAGCUACCCACCGAGUGCCCCAAACGGCAGCGUCUUCGACGGCGGGGCUGGCAGAGCAGCUCUUGCUGUGGCUUUUGGCAGCAACAAGGCAGAGAGAAGUGAGAAGAUGGAUCUAGACACGUGGCUGAAGAACUGCAGGAUGCCUCCUGUCGUGAAUAGCCCCGAGGAAGGAGUGAGAGCUUGCUGCAGCCCGCAGGAGUUCGUGGCACCAAAUGCCGAGGCUGUGGACUCCUUCCUGACUCUCUUGGACCUUUACAAAGGCCCAGAAGCCCUUCAGAAGGAAGAUGCUCCCAGUGAAAGUGCUCCGGCUGCUGAGGAAAAGGUGCCAGUAGAGAUCCGAGGACCCAUGAAGACGUCCUGGACACCAGGCUGGAUGCUGGAGGAUGCUCCGCUCGGGCAAGGUGACGUCCUCACCUCCGAGGCCGCUCAGACUUAUGACAUUUGCCAGGCGAUUUUCCCCUCGGAUGCGGCAGCCCAAGCAGACUAUUUAAAGGAAGUCUUAACCCAUAUGAAGUAGGACUUUCCACUCGUAAACCUGCGUAUUUGCACCGCGACCACGAUGGGCUCUGGACCUUCAUGAGAUCCUGCUGCUGGAUCAGCUCAGGCAGCAAUCCUGUUCCGAGUAAUCCGGCGUGCUCCCAAACUGGUGCUCCCGUCCCUUGUGCCCUGCUGGAUGGGCCGGCUGGGGGCUCGGGGUGUGUUUUGGCUUUUUGAGCUUUGUGGAUAUCAAAGCAGCUUCUGUGCCAGAGGCUGGAGGUGUGUGGGGGAUGUGGGGAGCUGUAACUCAACGGGAAAUGAACAUUUUUCAAAAUUCUCCAUAACCACAAAGGUUGAAAUACUUUUUCUGUAAAUAGAGACAUUUGAAAAGCUUUGGCUUUUUAUGAGAAGUCUCAGCUCGGAGCACAGUUCAUCUUCAUGCGGAUGCUUGGGUGGCUCCAUGAGCAGGAUCAGGCCCUUGUUUGGCUGGAGGUCAAAGUGGGUUUUCUCCCAUCAUGGUGCAACCUCCCCGUUUGCAUCUCCAGCUCCAAGUUUUAUCCCAUGGCUCCUCAAAUUAAUUAGAUUGUGGCAUGACUUUAUAGUGUUUUGUGCUCUUGUUUAGAACCUGGAAGAAUAUAUCUGUUUCCAACAUGCUAAGUUACUGGAAGCACCAGCUCAAACAGAGAGCCAGAGCAAGAAGGGCCAUAAAUUUAUUUGGUAUAAAAUUGUAACAGCCAUCCAAAACUUGCCGGAAGGAAGAAAACCAUCCCAGUUCCUCCUGCUCUAAGAGCAAGUCCAGUAAAUUUAAUUUAAAAAUCCCAGGCACAGAUGGCUUUUCUCAAGAGUAAAAGCAGUCGUGGCACACUGGUUUCCAUGAGCUGUGCUCUGAAAUGAGCCACGCGUGUGUCUGUGCGUGGCAUUGCACGAAAUGACACAAAAAAAUCACACCGGGCGCAUUUGGGGUCACCCAUCCCCAAAUUUCAGCGUGAUGCUCCGCCUGCGCUCCAUCCCUGGUGACUCAGGCCGUUUGAGCUGUCCAA
rnacentral:lncRNA from 1 species